CGGUUCUAGAGGGUCCAAGAUUAGGUCUGGUUUAAAUAUUGCUGCCUCUUCAGGACUGCAUGCAAUGCCUACGUGUUUCCAAAAAUUAAGCUCUAAAUAACAUUCUCAAAAGUGUACACAAAGUGUUCGAGUUCUGCUUGGAGUUCUAUUUCAUUUGGAACAGAUUGUCGAAAAGAUCAAGCAGGCUUCAUCCCUGGAGGUUUUCAAGACCUGGAUGAAAUAAGGGAAUGAGAAACCUGGUCAAACCUCAGUUGACCUGCAGAAGGAAGUAUCCAUGGGCGGCAGAGCAGCAGAGG